rnacentral:misc_RNA from 1 species
GUGCAGUCCCUUGAUAUUAAAUGGUGAACUCCCAGGAGUAGAAAAAAGCCACAGGAUGUAGAACGCAACAAGUGUGACCCCAAAAAACCUGUGUAUCAAGACCAAAGCCUUUGACUUUGAAAGAUUAGGCAAUGAAAAGAUUAAGGUGGAAAGAGGUGCAGCAAAGAGUGUGAGUAUCAAAGAUCCCACAAACAAGCUGGGGAGAUUCCCCAAUCCCAAAGAUAUAGCUCCUUCAUCACGUAAAGGAAGAACCACAAAGUAUGCG